rnacentral:rRNA from 1 species
GACAGAGGGUGCAAACGUUGUUCGGAAUUACUGGGCGUAAAGCGCGUGUAGGCGGCUCGGAAAGUCAGAUGUGAAAGCCCAGGGCUCAACCCUGGAAGUGCACUCGAAACUCCCGAGCUGGAGUCCCGGAGAGGAAGGCGGAAUUCUCGGUGUAGAGGUGAAAUUCGUAGAUAUCGAGAGGAACACCUGUGGCGAAGGCGGCCUUCUGGACGGUGACUGACGCUGAGACGCGAAAGCGUGGGGAGCAAACAGG